rnacentral:rRNA from 1 species
UACGUAGGUGACAAGCGUUGUCCGGAUUUACUGGGCGUAAAGAGCGCGCAGGCGGUCGAUCAAGUCGAGUGUGAAAGCCCCCGGCUCAACUGGGGAGGGUCAUUCGAUACUGAUCGACUCGAAGGCAGGAGAGGGUAGUGGAAUUCCCGGUGUAGUGGUGAAAUGCGUAGAUAUCGGGAGGAACACCAGUGGCGAAGGCGGCUACCUGGCCCAAUACUGACACUCAGGUGCGACAGCGUGGGGAGCAAACAGGG